AGGNACUGAAAAUGCCUAGAUGAGUAUUCUUACUCCAUAAACA
rnacentral:tRNA from 1 species